AGCCUCUGGACCCUAUUAGCCUUGCUGAAAUUCCAGCUUUCUGAACUAGUCCUGCACCUUCAUCUAAUGUGUAUCUUAAACCCGCACAUGGCCGUAGUUAAGUUCGAGGUAGACCAGUGACAUCCGUUGUGGACUCCACCGACGGGAAUGGGGGAUGAGUGCUUAUCAUUUUCUGGGUGAUGGCUGAGGUGUUGGCUUUGGGCUUUAGAUUUUGAUAUAUUUUUUUCCUGUUUGCUUUUGUUGGCAAGCUUCUAUACAGUGAUGGGUGUAUUAGUACAUCCUAAAAUGUUUUUGGGGGGGUUUUCUUUGGUUUUUGUUUGUUUUUUUGGUACCAGGAAUCAAACUCGGGACCUUGUGCUUUCGAGGCAGGCGGCGGCACCACUGAGCUAAAUCCCUGGCCCUUGUUUUUGUUUUUUGAGACAGUCUCACUAUGCAGCCCAGUUGGCCUCAAACUCAUAGCGGUCUUCCUGCCUCAGCCUCCUAAGUGCUGGGAACUGGGAUUACUGGCUGAGCUGCCAGGCCCUGUUUUAUGUUGUUGUUGUUGUUGUUGUUGCUGUUGUUGUUGUUGUUAUGCCCUGAAGAAAAGGACUGAAUCCAGUGGCAAAUACUGUAUUAUUGGCAGGUCUCAUUUUCCAUGUGGCUUGAUGAGACAGAUUUUGGUUCAAAUCUUAGCUCUGCCACUUAAGUGACCUUGUGUCUUUGGGCAGAUUUCUUACUUAUUAGUCCUGAAGUUCCUUCUCUAUAAAAUCAUGGCAAUGUUGUCUUCCUGGAGGUUUGGAGGACUCAGUGGAUCCUUACUGAAUCCUGUGGCGUGCAAACACUCACUGGUCCAAGCCCAGUACACAGCCGCAUCCUGGAUGUCUGUGUGUUGCCCUCCUAGUGGGAGGGGUGGACAGGAGCCCCAUGAUGGGAGCAGCUAAGUGUAAGGACCCUUACUGUGUACCAAGCACCAUUUCACGGCCUAUGCAUAUUUCAUUCUCCCAGCAACCCCAGAAACAAGUACUGUCAUUAGUCCUCUUGUGACCAAACAGUCUGAGAGAACUGAGGAAGCAGGAUUUGAACUCAGGCAUUGGCUUUGGAGGCAACUUUUUUUCCUACUGGGAAUCAAACUCAGGACGUGGUGCUUGCCAAGUAGUCUCAUUGCCACUGAGCUAAAUCCCCAGCCCUUGGGGCAACAUUUUUAACCAAACCCUCUGCUCCCUCUCUCAGCUGUCUAAAUAAGACACUCAGAAAUAGUCUACAGUGACAUGCAUGCCCAGAAACAUCUAGUCAUUGGUUAUGUUAUAUCAAGUGCACAAGUCUCUCAAAAAGAAGCCCUUUCUAAGCCAGACAUUGAACUAUACAAACUAUCAUUCUUUGGCUAAACUUUUCUCUCACUCAAAAGGGCCCAAGAUGUGUAUUUGUCAAGGAUCUACAUAUGUGAACCACAUAAAUAAUACCUAUAACCAGGUAUGAUGGUGCAUGUCUGUAAUCCCAGCACUGAGGAGGCUGAGGCAGGAGGAUCACUGUGGGUUAGAGACCAGCCUGGGCUACGUAGUUCAAAACUAGCCAUAGUAAGACCCUGUCUCAAAAAAUAAUAAUAUUGGGCCGGGAUUUAGCUCAGUGGUGCCACUGCUUGCAAGGUAGGCAAGUACACAUACUUAUAGAAUUUUUAUCUCAUUAAAAUUAAAGGGACAGGCUGGGGAUUUAGCUCAGUAGUGCCAUACCUGCCUGACAAGCAUAAAGUCCUGAGUUCAAUUCCCAGUACUGAAAAAAAAUUAAAUUACAUUAAAGGGACAUAAGCCAGGUGUGGUGACACACGCCUGUAUGCUGGGAUUACAGGUGUCCAUCACACCUGGGAUUUUUGGUAUUAACGUUGAAAUAACUAGGGCCUAUUUUCC
ensembl:lncRNA